GAAAUGCGAUAAGUAAUGUGAAUUGCAGAAUUCAGUGAAUCAUCGAAUCUUUGAACGCACCUUGCGCUCCUUGGUAUUCCUUGGAGCAUGCUUGUUUCAGUGUCUUGAAACCUCACAAAUCUUAAUGUGAUUGAAAUGCACUAGGCAUUAGCUUAGGUCAUUUCUCUCAUGAAAUAUGAAAGUGUGGAUCUUUCGAUCCAGCGAAGUAGUCACAUUCUAAAUGUGAUUUCGUUGGUAAUCCGAAUUAUUCGAAAACACUUUUAUCAUAACAAUAAACUCUUCAAUAUGCAUCUGAAAUCCAGCAAGAUCACCCGCUGAACUUAAGC
rnacentral:misc_RNA from 1 species